rnacentral:rRNA from 1 species
GACGAACGCUGGCGGCGUGCUUAACACAUGCAAGUCGAACGGAAAGGCCCUGCUUUUGUGGGGUGCUCGAGUGGCGAACGGGUGAGUAACACGUGAGUAACCUGCCCUUGACUUUGGGAUAACUUCAGGAAACUGGGGCUAAUACCGGAUAGGAGCUCCUGCUGCAUGGUGGGGGUUGGAAAGUUUCGGCGGUUGGGGAUGGACUCGCGGCUUAUCAGCUUGUUGGUGGGGUAGUGGCUUACCAAGGCUUUGACGGGUAGCCGGCCUGAGAGGGUGACCGGCCACAUUGGGACUGAGAUGCGGCCCAGACUCCUACGGGAGGCAGCAGUGGGGAAUAUUGAACAAUGGGCGGAAGCCUGAUGCAGCAACGCCGCGUGCGGGAUGACGGCCUUCGGGUUGUAAACCGCUUUCGCCUGUGACGAAGCGUGAGUGACGGUAAUGGGUAAAGAAGCACCGGCUAACUACGUG